GUCUUUGACAUAUAUAAAAGAGAAGAAAAGUUAGUCACCGAAGAGCUGUUUAAGAAAAUUCCUCUGUUGGUUUCUAAGGUAGCAUUCCUCACACUUAUUCUUGUUAUUAUGUUUGUUCUAUGUGCUUACUCGUAAGGGUUGAACAAACAAUUUUCAGGUUUCUCAUUAGAUAAAUGGUGAUGAAUGUUGUUUUUACAUUCUUUAGUACAUAAAAAUAUUCUAAAAGAGUGCUCCGAAAAAUUUUAACAUCUUUGCGGGCUACCCGUAUUUUGUAACUUUUCUUUUCCUUUUUCGUUUCAACAAAAUUUGUCUAUUUUCAAGGGAUAUGUGUUUUGUGUGUGUGUGUGUGUGUCUAUAUAUAUAUAUAUAGCUAUAUUUUUGUUUGAGUUAGCAUAUUACGCAAAAUAGAAAAUGAAGAUGUGUUUUGACGUUUGUUAUUGCCUAUUUCUAAGUUGGUGUCUGAAUAAGGAAAUUAUAGUUUGAAUAGACAAAAACUGCUUUCUUGUUAUAGAGUAGUUUAACAAAAUAUUUAAUACUAGGGUUCUUUAUUAUCAAGCAUAUAUGAUUCCUAUCAUAUACCUCUUUAUUUCCAUGUACAAAAAGUACGUUAAAUUUAUAUAUAUAUAAAUUUUAUGAUUAAUAAAUAAUUUUUUUAAUAAUUUUUGCAGAUGUAGUUAGAAUACAUAUUAUUUCCAAAUCAAUGGUUCUCUGCUACCAUUACUCAAUUUGCAAAUCAUCAGAACCUUAAAGAUUUUGUCGAACUUAUAGAUGAAAAGGAUCAAGCUUCUUUAUUAUGCAGUCACUUUCACAGAUUUAUCUAUGGAAGUAUGUAUAAAGAACAAAAUGAAAAAUUUAGUAGCAAAUUAAUACACAAGUUCAUAAUGAGACUUUUCAACUGCGGCAAAAAAAAUGAAGUUUGGGUACGAUUAGACGAUCAUGUGGCCUGUUUUGGCAUGCAAGGAUUUUGUCUAAUCACCAAAUUACCAUAUCAUGAAGUAGCUGUUGAUCUCAAUUUUAAUAAUACUCGCCUUAGGGAUGAAUACUUCAAUGGUUCAAAAAGAAUUUCUAUGAAAAGACUUUCUGAAGUAUUUCACAUGUGUGAAGAUCAAGAAGAUAAAUUCAAGUUAAGAUUAGUUAUGUUCGUCGAAUGCGUUUUAAAACCAAAUGGAAGACACAUCGAUUUCAGAACCCUUGGAAUGGUUGAACAACUUGAUAAUUUCUUAUGUAUCCAUGGGGACGUAAAGCAUACUUUAUUUUAUUAAAUUCAUUGCAAGAAUCACACCUUGAAAGAAUACGAAGGAUGCAACAAAAUGACCAAACAGAUUGUAAAUAUACGUUACAUGGUUAUCUACUUGCAUUCCAGGUAUUUUUCUUUUAUUUUUUUCCCUAUUACAUAUAAUUUAAUCAUAUAAAAACUUUAAUAUUUCUUUUAUUUUUAUUUUAGUAUUGGAUAUAUGAAGCUUUCCCUUAAAUUCGACGACAAUUCGGACGUCGUAUCCGUACACGCUUCCAGUCUCCACGAAUGCAUAAAUGGAAGCCCAAAAUAGUAUUAACAGAACAAAUCGUUAAACAAUUUUUGACUACUCAACAUGUAUGAUUUAUUUCAAUUUACAAUUAAAUAUGUAUUUAAUUAUUUAUAAAUAAAUUUAAAAAUAUAAAUCUAAUAUUUUAUUACAAUUAUAGAUCGAAGUAAUUGCAGUAUUGAAUUCUACUGAAGAAGAAUUAGAAACAUUCUAGUAUGCAAAUCUUUCACUACCAGCUGAUAACCAACCUCGUAUACUAGAUAUCAUUGUCAAUGGUGAAUCCAAUAAUAUAACACAACAAAUUCCAGCUGAUAACAUACAUACGCAAGAAACAACUAUAGGCACUUCAACUAGAAUCUGAUCUACUUUUUCUGAAAGCUCAAACUAUGUAACUAAAGAAGAUAUAGAUCAGAUGUUCAACAUAUAUAGACAACAAGUAGUGUCAGAUGUAUUUAGUUUCUAUGACGGAUUAAAAACACAAAUGAUUGAAAAAUCAACAAAAUAAGAAACUCGCUAUCAUACAAUUCUUGAAACGCAAGAAGACUACCAAAUGAUUUUUGACAAUAAAAAACAAUUCUUUGAACAUCAGCAAAAAAGCCAACAAGACUACUUCCAUAGCAUGCAAUCUUAUGUGGAUACCGGUUUCAACUCAGCCAAAUUUUACAUUGAUGAACAAAAUCAAAGUAUACAGAAUCAGUUAUCCGACUGAAAAUCACACAUGGAAACGAUUGUCAGCUCUAUACGACGAGAUAUACCUCCUCGUACAAGUCGAAUUGACUUCGAAAUUCCUUCAACAUCUAAACAUAUUGAAGACGUGGAAAGAUCGGUGAAAGAAAAAAAAAAGUAAGCAAAAAUAGACACAAUCUUCAUCAACAACGCCAACUAAUAUUUUAGAAGACCAUAACAUCGAUAAGUACAAAAACAUUAGAUAAUGGAUAUUACAAAAUCCAUCAGGGUAAGAUAUUUAAUUUUACGUUGCUAACUUAAAUAUUAUAAUUUGUUUUUUACUCAUUUAAAAUUGAUUUAAAUUAUGUUAUACAGCGCAUAUUGGAACGAUGGAAUUGGCAAUCUAUACAAAAGACAAUCGCCAGAAAAUAUACUAGAUGAAACAAAAAAUAUAAAUAUUGUGGUAAGUAAAAUUUAAUAAUCAUAAUUCAUUUUUCUUCAUAUAUCUAAUUUACAUUUUUUUUACUAGCAUAUUGAUAUAGAAUUAAAGCUAUUGAGAAGGCUUAUUACCGUCGGUUCUCCCCUGCUUUCUAAAGAAUAUGCAAUCAUGGACCUUAGAUUCGAAACUGAAUGUGGACCUUAGAUUCGAAACUGAAUGUGUUCAUUGGUAUACAAAUAUGAAAGAAGGAAUUGGCCAUUCUGCAACUAAUUUCAAUGCAUUACAACGAUAUAUAAAAGGAGAAUUGCCCGUAUCAGCUCGACCGUGAAUAACAUACAACUAUUUAUUAAUUCCAUCAGCAUAUCCAAGCAACACUUGGUUUCUUUUUCUUGUUGAUUUUCAAAAGUGAAAAUUUCAUAUAUAUGAUUGCAGCCACAACAUUCAUACAUCGGAAGAAAUCAAAGCACGUGCAGAAUCGGUAUUGACUAUAGUAGAAUCAUUAUUAAUCUCUGCAGACAUUUUCUCCAUAUUUUAUAAAGGAGCAAAUUAUGAAGUCAUAUUUUAUAAAGGAGCAAAUUAUUGAAUUUUGAUGAUGCUUAGCAUCAAUAAUUUCUCAAUAAGGUUGGUAAAUUUAUUAAAUCGCUUGUUAUGCUUUUUCUCACUUUUCCAAUUACACAUUUAUCUAUUGCAUUAAUUAACACUUUUAUUAUUUUAACUCUAUGAUAAAGCUCAGCUACAAGAUGUCCUCGGCCAGGUCCAAAAGAGGCAAAUUUGUUCUUCAAAUUGAAGACACUAGCUUAGAGAGAUCAACUAAGGCGUCCGAGGACGCAAUGCUUUAUGAUCUUUCCUAGCUGGUUGUGUAACCUUUUGUUUCUUUUACAAAGUUGAUAGUGAUGAUGCUGGAUUCCUUCUAUUUUUCGCCUUCUUUUUUUCCUUUAGUUUGUAAUAGGUUUUAAAUAUUUGUUUAAUUUUUUAUUUUGUGUUUUUAUGGUUGUAACUGAAUUUACUAAAGAUGUUUCAACCUUUGUCUGACAGGAAGGAUUAUUCAUAAGAACCGGGCAGUUCAAUUCAAGCCCAAAAUCCAAAUCAGUCAUUUCUUGCUACUUCAGUGCUUCGUGAAUUCCAGAUUUAAGAAGCUCAUCCUCCAUUUAUAUUGUUGUCAGACAACAUUGAAGUUUUUUGUCCUUAUCACUAACUGUGUGAAUUAAUUUUUUAUCUCUGCUUGAAAACAAAGAAUUUCUCUGUUUACUACAGGAGUUCUAAAUCUUUUAUCAUAAUCCUUGUUAGCUGUUCACUGUUAACUUGGCCAAUUGGAGCGACUUGGAUGGCCAAAAAAUGACACAAUUAGCAUUGUGCAUCAUCACCAGCAGCAGUAUAACUAGAAUGAUAAGAAAAUAAAUGGUGAAAAUGUUGGUAGUGAUGGAUUUAAAAGAGAAGAAGGAUUUGGAGGAAAGAAAUGAUUUCCGAAUUAAAAUCUGAUCACUCAGGAAUUUGUGCAGUCCUCACUUGGGGGGAGUUACCAUAGACAGGAAACGAUGUCUCUUUCUCUGUCAAAAUUGUUGAUUAGUGAAAAGAAUGCUUUAGGCAGAAUUAUCGCGGAGUGGCCCAAAGGUUAGAUUGCUUCGUUAAUUUUUUUUUCAUUUAUUUCUUAAUUGAAGAAAUACUUAGUUUUUAUAUGAUUGGAAAUUAAUUUAAUCGUAAUUAAUUACUACUACUACUA
rnacentral:lncRNA from 1 species